UACGUAGGGGGCAAGCGUUGUUCGGAAUCACUGGGCGUAAAGGGCGCGUAGGCGGCGUGACAAGUCAAUUGUGAAAUCUCCGGGCUUAACUCGGAACGGUCAAUUGAUACUGUUGUGCUAGAGUACAGAAGGGGCAAUCGGAAUUCUUGGUGUAGCGGUGAAAUGCGUAGAUAUCAAGAGGAACACCUGAGGUGAAGACGGGUUGCUGGGCUGAUACUGACGCUGAGGCGCGAAAGCUAGGGUAGCAAACGGG
rnacentral:rRNA from 1 species